UACAGCAGAGCAACACCCACUUGCCCACCUUUUUUUUUUUAAUUCGAUAUUAAUUUUAUUGUUCAACACAUAAUGUUUAUUAUGUGUUUAUUUAUUAGUUCUUUAAGUCACCCAAAGACCUAUUCUGAAACAUGUACCUAGUUAGCUGUUACCUAUUAAUUGUAACACGACUCGGGCUUUUGUGAUUUUUGAAACUUUUAUUUAUUCACAUUAAAAUGAACUUAACAAACUAAUUUAUAACUUCUAAUGCAAUAAUGGUAUUAGUUUUAAACACUAGUAAAAAUAGUGAGAUAGAUGUUGUUCACAACAGUUGUGAAAUUACUUGAAGAAUAUUAGGUAGAAAACUAUAGAAGUACCAUAAUGAAGAUCAAUUAGAAGGAAUUUGUGAUCAAAUCGGCCAAAAUGAAUAUACUAAAGAAGGGACUUCUUGAGAAAAUAUACACUAAAAAUGUUAAGACAGCCAAAAUCAAAUCUGUUGUGUUCUACAAAAAUUAAGAACAAGCACAAUUUUGAAUUUUCUAAUAAAGGCCAGCCAAAGAGAAAGAAGGUUUUCAAGAUAAGUUGAUGAAAUUGACACAAGAAAUAGCUUCACUGAGCAGGAGACAAUAACUUUCAAAGGGAAGAAUCAGAAGCUAAAAGAGAAAUAGGUAUGAGGCCUGAAAUUAAAUACAGAAAAGGAAUAUUAUCAGAAUUAUUAAUAAAGAAAUCUUUUUUAAGACCAGAUUUAAAAACGUGUUUCAGAAAUAGAACUACUUACAUUGUAAAAUGUAAAAUAAAUUUAUAUAAAUGCAGUGUUUUAGUGUGGA